rnacentral:rRNA from 1 species
CGCACGGGUGAGUAACGCGUAAGUAAUCUACCCUGGCAUCUGGGAUAACCCACCGAAAGGUGAGCUAAUACCUGAUACGUUGAUUUAUCAAGAAAGGUGGCCUCUAUUUAUAAGCUACUGUGCUGGGAGGAGCUUGCGUACCAUUAGCUAGUUGGUAGGGUAAAGGCCUACCAAGGCGACGAUGGUUAGCGGGUCUGAGAGGAUGAUCCGCCACACUGGAACUGGAACACGGACCAG